ACACAAGCACGCCUGCACUCACACAUGCGUGUGCACACCAAUCAGUACACUGGGAAGAGGAGAGACUCGUACUGAGUGGCUUUCAAUGGGAGAGAAGAGCUGAGAAGAGAGAGGGACGGAGCGAGCGAGCGCACGAGAGAGAGAGCGAGAGAGAGAGAGAGAGAAGUGUCGUCGCAUGUGCAGGACCAAAAAGUGAAGAGGCAAAUUAGCUUGUUAUCCCCCAAAGAAGCUUCACCUUCAGAAAGAAGCGUGAGGAGGCUGAGAAACAGGAGGAAUACGUUGCUUCUCUGGUGAUUUAAAGGUGACAUGACAAGCCGCUCGUCCCUCAAAUCCCAGCUAGUUUCUGACAGCGUUUCACAGCUGUGACGGGAGUUUCUGCUGUCGGGUGCCUGACUGUGUUCGGUGGAUUGCAUCCAGGAGGACUUACAACAGAAGAGGGGAUCAAGGGCAGGAGCGGGAACAAAAGUCUCCUCAUCCCCCCGCCCCCCCCUCUGACCCGUAGAUCCGAGCAGGAACUUUUGCUGGGAAGCUCUUUCCCGUGAGCAUGGAUGGAUUUAUGACUAUGUGCUGAGGAUAUUGGAUGAACAUUGACGGCAGGUUUCUUUAACGUUCUCCUGACGGUAUCUCACAGCCGGUGCUCCUGCCAUGUCCUGGCUCCUGUGUCUGUGGAUAAGUGUUAGCUGCUUAUUGCUGUGCCACGCCACUUUGUACGAAACCAUCCAGCAGCAUCAUGUGACCCGUCCGGGCCGCAACGCCAUACAGAUACUGGAGGGAGGAACAUGUGAGGUCAUUGCAGCGCACCGAUGUUGCAACAAGAACCGCAUUGAGGAACGUUCCCAGACGGUCAAGUGCUCAUGUUUACCAGGAAAAGUGGCCGGCACAACACGGAACAAACCUUCCUGUGUAGACGCCUCCAUCGUGAUUGGGAAGUGGUGGUGUGAGAUGGAGCCGUGUCUGGAGGGAGAGGAGUGUAAGACACUACCAGACAACUCCGGCUGGAUGUGUUCCUCUGGGAACAAGAUCAAGACCACGAGGAACACCCAGCCGUAUUCAACUUUUUAGCUCUGAGGGCCACCAAAACUGGCUCACCAGAAGCUCAGCGGCGUCCUUCUCCUCAUCAAGAGAGGGAUCCCUCCUUGCCUGUAGCUCCAGACAAGGCAGGCCUCUUUUGAGGAAGGCACACAGUGAGAGAGGCUGAAAGACACCCUCACCCCUACCUGUUCCUAAUGGCUAUAUCAUUCAGUUCCUUUAUAUACAAACAAAAUCAAUACGUAAACAAGAAGACGAGGUUUAUCCCCCAGUUUAUGUUUACCUUCAUCUGCCUCAUUUGAGAGGAGAGAUGGGCUCAGUCUGUAGCUACUGUACAGCAAGGAGCCAUUCACUCCAGGCUGGAUGAAUCGCCUCAGCACUGGCCCCUAAUACCAGCUGGUCUCGAACGUCAGAGGCCAGCAAAAUUUGGCAUAAGCAUCAAUGUCUCAUUAGUAUUCAUAGGAAUCCAUACAUGCAUUUUUGUAUGUUUGAAUGGACACCGAAGUUUACAAUAUGGACGUACUGACAGCAUCUAAAAUGUAUUUACUUAUGCACAGAUUUAGAAACAUAAAAAUUGAAUUUAUUUAUAUUACAUUUACAUUAUAAAUAUAUAUGUGUAGUUGAAUUUUACAAUUAUCAUCUUAGAGUUUAGGCUUGUAUAAAGUGAUGAAAUACUUUGAAACAGGUAGGGCUGCCCCCGACUAAAAAUUUAGCAAGUUCAUUUAAGCGAUUAGUCGACUAAUCGCGGGAUUAUAUUAAUGUAAUUAUUUAAAUAUAUAAUGAGGAGAAUACUAUUAAUGUAUUUUGGCAUAAUAUAGCUUAUUCCAUGCUCAAACACACGCAUAAAGCUUGCCGCAAAGCACCGCCAAAAGUAAUGAUUAUGAAUGUGUCGGCAAAAGAAUAGCAAGGAGACAUUUUAAUUAUUUAUUAAUAACCUAGUGUUUUCUGAAUCAGUGUCGGCUGCAAAGAUGAAGUUGGCGAUGAUGCCUCACCAUCUCCGCAAUAUAGUGAACACGCCUAUAGAGAGAGAUGUACCUUACAUACGGAUUACAUAAACAGAGAGUAUUUCUUUUCUAUUUGAAUUGGUUCGUUUAAAAGUAGAAAUUUCGAGCUUUCUAUGGAUAUGUUUCUCAUGUCUGUGAGGCAAGUAGCGUUUCCGCUGAGUUUCAGUUCAUUUUUGUGAUGUGCUCCAGUUCAGGGAAGCCGAGAUGGCAGAAAUCACAUCCUGUUUGUUUUCUUUAUUUUACAAAGGCACAAUGUUUUAUUUUGGUAUUGUGAGUUUACACAAAUAAAAGUAGACCCUUUACAGUUUCUAAUGAUGUUUUACUCUUAUCUCUUUUGGUCAUACUCUGUAUGACCAAAAAUGACAGAGUAUUUUAAAGCCUCCAUGCCUUGCAGUAAGCGUUCUAUACUUCAGCUACCACACUCUGCACAAACACUUGGAUAUGCAUCUAAUAAUAGCGCACAUUUAUCUCGGUUAAAGUUAGAGCAAACAGCCGUGUAAAGUUGCUGCUACUUACAUGUUUCAAAUGAUAAACGAACGUUUGGAAUUCCUGCCCGUCACACUGUAAUUACCACAAGUAACUGCCAUUGACGAUCUUGUCCGUCACGGACUGUUUUUUUUUUCUUUUCUGAGACUAAUACAUUUUUUGGUCGACUAAACCUCAUCUAGUCGACUAAUGAUUAGUCGACUAUUAGGGGGCAGCCCUAGAAACGAGUUGAAUAUGGCAGCAGAAAUCACAAAGCAAGUUCUUCAGAUAAAUGUGUUAAAGGAUUAGUUCACUUUAAAAUGAAAAUUACCCCAAGCUUUACUCACUCUCAAGCCAUCCUAGGUGUAUAUAAUUUCUUCUUUCAGAUGAAGACAAUCGGAGUUAUAUUAAUAAAUAUCCUGAUGCAUCUAAGCUUUAUAAUGGUAGUAAACGGGUCCAACGAGUAUGAAGCUCAAGAAAGUGCAUCCAUCCAAAGCAAAACGUACUCCACACGCCUCCGGGGGUUUAAUAAUAAGGCCUUCUGAAGCGAAGCAAUGCAUUUGUAUAAGAAAAAUAUCCAUAUUUAAUGAGUUAUAAAGUAAAAUAUCUAGCUUCCGCCAUACCGCCUUCCGUAUUCAAUUUACGAAGAAAGUGUAAUGCCUCUUUAUACUCUUUAGGUUUAUACUCGUUGGACCCGUUCACUGCCAUUAUAAAGCUUA